AAAAAGUUGGCGCGCCGAAUGAGAAGUGUGAUAAUUUUCUGGUGCUACCGUAUUGUGGUUCGAGUCGAAAUCUCCAUGGGACGAGCGAAUCUUGGAGAGUGGCCAGACUCGCAAGCGUUAUUUCCCCACCACCUGACAGUUGAGUGCUUGGAAAAGUACCAACAGACGAAAAGCACCUUCUUUUCGAUUCCUUGAAAAAGGUUCUAUAUGAACCGAAACGUCGGAGAAGAAAGCAAACUGGUGUUUGAUUUUACCAAGUGACCGAAAGCCGAAACGUAAUCUAAAAUAAUUGUAACGGUCGUGAAA